GGGCUUCCGGUUCGGGUGUCGGCCGUGCCGGCUGCCGAUCCCGUCCCGGCGGUGCCGCCGCUCCCUCGGCGGGCGGAGUGUGGGGCUCGGGCACCCGGCGGCAUCGGGGCGGGCGCUGGGGCCGCGCGGCGCUGCCGCUGCUGCUCCGGGCUGCUGCCGGGGCUCCCGUGCCGCCGGCCGUGCGCGGGAGGGCGGUGCGGGGAUUUCCCCGCGCUGAGGGGAACCGGCCCCGGCGCCUCCCGAACCCGCCGCUCCGGCGCUGCCAGGGAGUUUCUAUCCAGCGUAGGCAGAGAAUUCUUUACACCUAUGUCCUGGAUGUGUGGAUGUCCCGAUUGAGGGCAGUGAUGGCUUUCAUGAAGAAAUCUUUAAAUGAAGACAGGAUUAUCCAAACAUUUCCCUUCCCUGCUGUUGUCCCUGCUGCAUUAGAAGUUACUGCUUCAGCCUGAAGAUGGAACAGUGCUAAUCUGCAAUAAUUAAAAGAACUGCUGCAAUAAUUAAAAGAACUGCUGCAAUAAUGAAAGAACUACCAAACAGGCAAAACUACUGUGCAAAUUACAUCAUUAAUAAUUUAAACGUGCAUGUUCUACAAAAUUUUUAUAUGAGUUUCUUCCUAGGAAGACUUCUCAAAGCAAAAAGAAAAAAUUAAGUGUGUCACUAAUUUAAAGCUGAUCUUUGUUUUGUUGAAGUGCCAAUUCUGAACAUACAUACAAUCUGUAAAAGAAAAGAUACAUGUAUUUAGGUAUAUAUGUGUAUUCCUGGACAUUAAAUUCUCCUUUGACAAGUAGUUCAUGUAAUAAAGCGCAUGAUGGUCUGGCAGGAGUGAGGGAAAACAAACAAACAGAGAAUGAAACUAUAAACCUCUCCAAAAAGAUCAAAAACCAACUUGUCUGGAAUUAAUCCAGAUAAGCUAUGCCCCUUCACAGCCAGCACCAGUCCUUCCUACUGAAAACUGCAUGCGAUACAGUACUUACCCAACAGAAAUCAAAGAGAGGGAAGAAAGAAACAGGCAACUUCAAAAAGGAAAAAAGAACCAAUUCAAAAGAUACAGAGAAAACUUCAAGUGUUAUGAAAGAAAUCAGGCCUUGUGGUUAAAAUACAGAAAGUGGAGUUACUUAAAAGACACAUUUGUGCUAUUAAUGAUGUAAUAUUGAUUUCCUUUUAAAGUGGCACCUUAAGGACUGGAGACAAACUUCAGUUACAACAGCAGUCACAACAGCAGUCAACAUUUUUCUGUAAAGUUAGAAUUUCAAGUCAUCAACAGAUUUUUUGAGGACAAAGUAAGUCCUUGUGCACAGGAAUCAAAAACUAAGUACUUACUAAAAUUUUGUCUACUGAAUUUUACCUCCACGUAUGCCAGAUUAUUUGACUGCUGCUGUAACUGAAAACAGCACUGGGGUAUUCACAUUCUGAACAGACAACAAUGGAAAAGAAGGAAACCAAAAAA